CUUUCCCUCACCCUUUCUCCACUUUUCUCUCUGAAAAAAUUCUCACUUUUUUUCUCACACUUUCCCGGAUAACCCAAUCCAUCCCAUCUUCAAAAGCAGAAAAUUUUCCCUCAAGAAAGUGGUUUUCCUUACCACAAAAGCAGACGUAUUCAAUUCAAGAAACGGGUUCAAAGAUUUUCCCCAGAAAAUCUGAUCCUCUCUCUUCAAAUUAAUUUUGAAAUACUUAAUUUCUUAAUUUUAAUUUAAUUAAAAAAAAAAAUUUCUUCUGUUUUCGCAGACUACUUACGGUGAUGAGGAAGUUAUGUACAAAGUUUCCAAUCUCUCAAAUCAAGAAAAGGGUCUGAAGAUUUUCUCUGGUACUGGGAUACAAGGCAGUCAAAUCCAGUGCAUACUCCCUAACCGCUUUUAUUCUUUUACAAUGCGGCAUCCCCUGAUGGUUGUUGACACUGCAGAUUGCAAUCUGAUAGUUUUCAACUUGCAGAACCCUCUGGAAAAACCCAAUUGGUCUGUAGCUACUAAGAGAGAUGCUUACAAGUGCUGGAGCAAGAGAAAUGAUUUCUAUGCAGUAUAGAGACCUUUUUGUAUCAACACCCUAAAAGACUGAGUUCAAGAGAAUCACUUCACCUCUGAAGUACCAGACAAGAUGUGUUGCUGCCUUUCCAGAUCAGCAAGGUUUGUUGUUGAUAGAUCGGAUCCAAGAAAGGCAAUUUCCUGGUUCUGGUCUGCCAUAAUGCUGGGGACCUGGUUGAUAGUGCCUUGAAAGACAUGGCAAUUGUGAUGAAACAAUUGGAUCGAUUUGAUGAGGCAAUUGAGGCCAUCAAAUCUUUUCUUCAUCUCUGCCUUUAUGAUUCUUAGGAAUCUCUUGGCAAUGUGUUAGUUAACUCUACAAGCUAGUUACAUAUAUUGGGGCAACAACAACAAGAAGCUGGAGUGUGGCAAGUAUAAAUGGUGAGUGUUAAUGCUCUUAAAAUUGAACGAGUACCAUCCUACUUUCUAGGGGAAAUUAUUGAGAAACGAAAGUAGGGUGAGUGUAAAAGGGAAAAAACAGAAUAUUGUGCUUAAAGAAAGUGGUCGCUUAAUAACAUAGGACUUUAAUAACAUCUCUGUCAGGCCCAUUAUCGAUUAAUUUAUGGGCUUGGAGUGGUCGCUUUAGCCUGCGGUUUUUUUCAAAAAUGGGGUGCAUACCAUAACAGACAGCAGGUGAACUAUUUUAUUUA